UCAGUGCGGAAGGCGAGCGUCACUUGGCCCAGCAGACGCCGCUAACAUGGCGAACGACAACAAAGCCACCAAAAAUGACUCUGUGGGUUUGUUCCUGCAGGCGAUGGUGGAUCGUGAACCUGGAAAAAGGAAGGUGAAGCCAUCUAAAGCUGCAUUAGUUGACUUAGCAGAAUUAGAUCUGGGAGAGAGUUCCGAUGACAGCGACUUUAACGUAGACGAAGCCAAACUAAACGACGACGAUGACAUCUCCAUUAAUAGUGAUCCCGAUGCCCCCGAUCUCGAUGAUGACGACGACGACGACGACGAUGAAAUGGAUGAAGAGGGUGAGAGUGAAGAAGAGGUAGAAACACCUCCAGAAAAAGAAAAGAAUCUGAGUGUCACUCAGUUAUUGGAACAAGCAAAGAAGAAACAAGCUUUAGAGGGUGUGGAGCGACCCAAAAUCUUGGUGUGCGCUGUAUGUCUUGGUGAUCACUCCGAUGAUGUAAAUGAAAUUGUGACCUGCGAUGGAUGUAGUGUAUCUGUGCAUGAAGGCUGUUACGGCAUUAGUGACUCUAUAUCGGUGUCGAGCACAGUUUCGUCAAGUUCUACAGAACCUUGGUUUUGUGACGCUUGUAAGGCAGGGGUAAUAAAUCCACCGUGUGAGCUUUGUCCAAACCUCGGGUACACAAUUUUUAAGGAGACGGAGAUGGGGCGGUGGGUGCACUUGGUGUGUGCCUUAUACAUUCCUGGUGUGGCCUUCAGUGAGGUUGACAAGCUCUCCUUUCCAACCCUGUUUGAAAUGCCGUACACCAAGUGGGGAUCCAAGAGCUGCACGCUGUGUGAAGAUGAACGCUACUCUAAGACUGGGGUGUGCAUUGGCUGUGAUGCAGGCAUGUGUCGUGCCUACUUUCAUGUAACUUGUGCUCAGCGUGAGGGUUUAUUAUCCGAGGUGAACCACGGUGAAGCAGACCAAGCCGACCCGUAUUAUGCUCACUGCAAAUUACAUACUGAUAGAGAGCUCAUAAGGCGAAGAAAAAGAAACUGGCUGGCCCUGCAGCUUCAUAUGAAACAAGGAGAGGCAGAUAAGUCGGGCUCCAGCCAGGAAAAUCAGGACCGCAUUCAGAGGAAACUUGGCCGCUACCGAGACAAAUACCUCUUCAAUAAGAACAACAGACCCACCCCAUGGUAUCCAACUCAAAAGAUGCCAAGAGCGCUGUCUACAUCAGCCUCUCUCUUCCGCUCUCUGUUACACAAAACUGAGCUGAUGGGUCUCAGCACAGAAUCUCAGCCAAUACAGUCCGCAAAUGUUGGCGACAUCAGGAAAAAAUGGCAUAUUCCUCCGGCGUUCAAUGUGGAGUUUAUCAGUUACUAUCUCGACCGCACAAAUCGCUUGUCUGAGAUGAAGGAACGCUUAGAUCAACUUUUAACUGAAAAUUCUCAAUUAAUGGAAGAGGAGACAGAACUCAGAUUCAAGUGUAAUAACAUGGAGGCAGACUGUGAGAACAUGAAAUCGGAGAAUGAUAUACUUCUGAACAAGGCCUUGGAACUCCACGAUGUUCUCAAGGGCCUGGCGGGACGACCUCUUCCCCUUCCACCUGUUGUGGCUGCCUUGCACAACCCUCCCAGUCCGCCACUACCCACUAGGCCUCUUCCUAAAGGCAGUUUACGCGGACCAAUCAUGACGAAAGCAGCGGCCAAGAUGAUGAUGACGGAGCAGGCACCACCAACAGGAGGUGGGUGCUGGCCCGUCAGAUUGCAAGAUGUACUUCCAGGCUCUUUGACACUAAACAGAUGUCUUGUCUGCCAACUGACAAAAGAACAACAUUUACUGAUUGAAUGUGACACGUGCGGACAUUACUAUCACCUUUCAUGCCUGGAUCCACCUCUGACACGCAUGCCGAAGAAGACCAAGCAGAUGGGAUGGCAGUGUUCUGAUUGCUGUAAAUCUUCAGACUCUGAUAAAGCCCCAGAAGUUGAUACAGCAGCACCUCGCAGACUGCGUAGAAAUAUUAAAGAGCCGGCAAAAUUUUCACCCUCAAUAGCAUCAGAACCAAAGAGCUGUGAUAGUGGGGAUAAGAGCCAUCCUAGUGGAGGUAUGGCAAGCAACACCUUCUCAGACAUGAUUCAUUCUGAAACUGACAAGCCUCCAGUUCAUCUCUAUCACCCUGGAGUAGCUUCUGUGCCUCUGAGUUUUGAGGAGUCGCUGGAUUCUGCCGGUAUUGCUGGGAAAAAGAGAAAAAUGACCGACAUUAAGAAAGUUGGAACAAAUAAAAGGAGAAAAUCACAGGGUGAGGGAGAGACCACCUCGGUGGAUUCCGUUCCAGGAAAUGUGUCGGCCGAGUCCAGUCCUACCAGUAAGAUGUCUCCUACCACUGCUCGUGUAAAGAAAGGUUCUCUUGAAAGUACAGGGCCAGAUAUCCUUGAGAUCGUAGCCCUUGAGACUCGUUCAGCUCGAGGAAAGAAAUUUUCUUCCGAGUUACCUGUAACAACUGCUUCCUCAGAAGUUUGCGUGUCUACGUCCACGACAACCGCCGUGACAUCUACAAUAUCAGUUGUAUCUACUACAGUAUUAAUGACAUCUACUACUACUACAUGCACAACUCAAACCCCAGAACCUACCUCCCCAAGCAAGACUCGUCGAGCUCCAGCAGACUCGUCCCCUUCGUCUUUAGUUCCUCAUGUUACUUCCUCUCCUUCUCGUCAACGACGUCAACCCUCUGAAUCUGGUGAAAGUUCACCACGCCCGCUGGUGUCGUCUCCUUCUCGCAGUCGGAGGAACUUGACUGAGCCUACUGUUGAUUCCACUGAUGUUCUACCUCAACCUCCUCCACAAACAGAUGUUGAUACAAUGUCUACCUCUGGUAAUCCUACAGCUACAGUUUCUGAGAGUUCAGAAGCGUACUCUCGUAAACGAGUGGCUUCCAACGUUCACUUGGAUACAAGUGUAGAAUCUCUACCUUCUGUCACCUCCUUACAUUCUCCCACUUCUGAAUCGCUCCAUAGUGCAGAAGAUGAUCCAACUUCCCCUCGAAAGGAGAAGAGACAUCGUGAUGGAAGCAAGAAGAAGAAGAAAGAUAAGGAUAAAGAUAAGGAUAAGGAGCUAGAAGGGGGUAGAAAGAAAAAGAAACAUCACCACCGUGAUAAACACGGCUUAGGAGAAAUGGCAUCUGAGAUGGUCACUCCUGUGAGAAUCAAGAUAAAACCUCUUCCACCACGCCCAAUGGAAGAGAAUGGGAGCGGAACUAACUCGACGACUCUACCCACACCAUUAAAUUCGGCACCUGCAACAAACCCAGUUUCUAUGGCUUCCAUUUCUACCACUGCCACAACAACCACUACCCCUACUUCACUCAUUCGUCCAAGCUACCAGACAAUGACUCCACCUGCAGGGUAUCCACCUCUACCGCCUGGUUACACACUAACACAACCAAUGGCACCGCCAACUUCCUCGGUUGUGCCUACGUCGGCUCCUAGUCAUUCUAACACGCAUCUUCCAGCAGUUUCCAUCACUUCUCAAGCUCCCACGAGUCAUGUUAAUACAUACACCAUGAGUGGAAACACUCAACACUCCCCGGGUUCAAGUAAUCGGAGAAGAUCAGACCCGAGUGAUCCUCAGCAGUUUAGUAAAUGUGAUGUGUGUGGUGAGACGGGCGGCGUCACAAACACUGUUUCGUGUGAUGAGUGCAAUAAAGCGUACCAUUUUAAUUGCCUUGAGCCACCACUUAAGAAGUCUCCAAAACGUCGUGGGUAUUCGUGGUUCUGUGAAGACUGUGACAAUGCGUAAGCAACUGGCAAUCUUCAAAUAAUCAAGUAUCAAACACUCAUCGGCAAAUCUAUAUAGAAACAUUAGCCGCUAUAUAUCGUACUUCAUCAGGGUUUGUUAUUCAAAAACGUAGAAUCCUGGGUGUAUUCCUGUUCUGCACGUGAGCAUUUCCUAGUGGUUGUGGUACUCUUCUGUUUACUCUUAUUUAAACCUGUUCAGCACAUAAGGAGAAAUUAUAAGAAUAAAGUGAAACGAUUGGAGGUUAUUGUCCGAUAUAAAUAUAUUGUAUCAGAGAAGUACAUGUACAGUAUAUUAUUACUCGGAGCUGGUUGAAUGUUCAAUGAAGUUUUGGUUUUCAAAACUCGCCUGAAAUUUUGACACACACGAGCGUGUGAUUUUCAGUAAAAAUAUUAAAAUAAUAGUGUUUUUGACCAGUGCCAGAUACUCUUACAACAUAGAAUGAAAAUAUAAUUAUUCUGUUAAUAUGUAACAUUAACCAGCUCAUCCUCUCUACUGUUCACAAUGUCGCCAAACUGAUGUACUAAAUUGCCCAAACCUAACCCAACUGAGGACCCUUAAAUAGAAAAUGGGACAUCACGUUAAUUUUUCAAGUUGCUAUGAUGUUUAGUCUAUCAGGUUUAGGUCUUAGGAGAUUUAUACGUCAAAAUGUGAUGUACAUUUCGAGAGGACGGGUUAACGUCAUGAUACUGUAUUGCUAUUGUGUCAUUUUAUAAAUCUGUUUUGGUUUGAGAAAUAUUGUAUCAGAAAUUCUGUAAAAUCAAAUUAUGAAGCUGGGUUGAUUUCUGUUAUAUGUAUAUGAAAGACCAUUUUUACUGCAGUUUGUCAGAAAACUAUGUGAUCUCUUUGUAUGACUGACUUAGAAAUUGGAUGAUGCAGCAAUUGUAGUUACAAUCUUUACCGCUCAAUAAAGAAGGCUAGUAGGCCAUGAGACAGGCCUUGUUCAAAAGUAUUUAGCAAUCAGUAAAUUGACAACUUCAUGCAAAAUAAUUAUUAUUUGAAGAUUUAGUAACCAACUAUGAAAAUAUUGACACCCAACCGACACAUCUAAGAUGAAGAAGCGACGAUGUUUUGGUCCGUCCUGAACCAUUAUCAAGUGAAACAUCAUCGGCUCCUCAUUUUCAGAUGUGCUGGUCGGCUAUCAACUCUUGAGCCAUGUUAUUGUUGCUUCAUAAAACUGGAAUUCUAUUGGCACCAUUGUGUUGCAUAUGUGGGGUAAAGUAGUAUAAUGUUUGUAUAAUAUAUAAUGUCCUCUCAUCAACUUCCACAUCUCUACAUUGCCAACUACUCAGUAACCAGCCAGGGGGAAAUGAGAGAUCACAGAUGUUCAUAUCUUUGAAAACAUUCUUACAAUAGUACCUACAAAUGAGAGAAAAUGUAUAAUUUUUUUUUAUUGUUAGCAAACUUUUAAAUUAUGUUUUAUACGAACUUUUCAAAAUUUAGUGUUAAUAUGUGAAAAUAUAUUUAUUUAUUUUAUUUGUUGUUACAUGCAAUGACAAUAACUGUGGGUGCUAACUUAAUGUUUAUCAAUAUUAUUUCAAAUAAAUGUGUCCCGAGUGUAGAGAAAAAUAUAUUUAUUUAAAUAUUAUUUGGUUUAAGUUGUUUGCAUAUGAAAUAUACCGACGAUAAAACGUGUGAAUUUUAGGCAACAAAUUUUAUUUAUAAACUUUUAUCCAUCUAUCUACAUAUAUCCCCUUAAUGUUUUUAUAUUAUAGGAAGCUUGCAUCUCCAGAAUAUGCUCAGAUAUAGAUGAUUUUUUUGGUUGAAUGGAGCAGGUAACACUGAAGACACUCCUUAUACUGUACAUAUAAAGUCCAAGUCUGUCCUUCCUAUAUCCAGUACCUAUACUGUAUCGACAUUUACUCGUACUGUAUAACUUAAUCCUUCCUGCGUGUUUGCCGGCAGCUGAUCUCGCUCACUUACUUCUAAGUCUCAUUUAUUUCUUGAUAACUUAUAAACAGUACUGGUGUAUUACGGGCUCACCAUAGCCCGUGUUACUUGGAACUUUUUGUUCCAGGUAGCGAAUCUUUAACAACAACAACAGUACUGGUGUGCUAUGCUUUCAGUUUCCUCAAUAGUGCACCUCUUUACCCAUUUUAAAUUUUAUGUUCCUUCAUUGUCAUAUCAAGGAAACCUUGUAUUAGUCAAUCCCAGAUGCCUAACUAGUCUGCUAUUACAGAUACAUUUUAGUAUCAUAAAAGAGCUACUUCUGUUGAAAUACAAAUUUUCUUACCUAAAUUUUUAUUUUGUCUAGUUUUUUUACCUUUUUUUUUUAUGUUUGGUAAUGUAUAAGCUGAUAUUUGUCUAAACAUCUCCGCACCUCUACAUUCCACCUUGUUUUCUCAUUUGCUUCUAAAUUUUGUCAUUCUACACAUUUCUUGUACAUUCUUUCAUUCAGCCUCAUCCAUAUCUUAUUUAAUAGGAAUCAUACAAAUAAAUUGUGGUUUUGUUGUGUUUUCACCCAUUUAAUUUUGGAAAGAUUGUUCAUUCACAUUGUUGGGCCUUAAAAUUACCUAUAACUUCAUAACUUUUACUGUGUCACUUCUUUGUUGUAAUUAUUUUUAUUAUGGUACCUGUACCUGUACUUAAUUACCUUUCAGUUUUAUUUAUUUUAAGGAUCUUGUGAAAUUUAAGAUAAUGAUGAGCAUUUAUUGUACAUUUCUUGUAUUGUAACUGAAUAAUUAAAAACUUUCUAUUCAUUCAGAAUAUGUGUAAUAAGGCUUAUUUAUCAUAUUUUCAGUUUGCAAGGAAGUAUAGUUCUUUUUUUAAUGACGAGAAUAAAAAAUAAAGACUUUC